AACAAAUGGAUGGAACGGAUUCGAUUAAAAACCUCUAAGUGGACCCCUCAAGGCCCAUGAGGCACGUUGCUCUAUAUCUGUCGCAGACUACCGAUGGGUUUUAACCCUUUUCUUACGCCAAAAGCCCUAAAUUCCUCGUUUCGCAUCUCCAUCGUCGUCUCCAUCUCCGUCUCCCUCUCUCAAUCUCCCUCUCCCUCUCCCUCUCUCAAUCUCCCUCUCUUUUGAUCUUCCGAUCUCAACCCUCUCUAUCGAUCUCCCUCUCACUCUCCCUCCUUCUCAUUCGAUCUCCCCCUCUCGAUAUCAACCCUCUCUCUCGAUCUCCCUCUCCUGAUCUCAACCCUCUUUCUCGAUCUCCCUCUUACUCUCCCUCCCUCUCUUUAUGUAAUAGGCCCACCGAAAACGGGUCUAGAACAGAUGACGAGAAUGAGUUCUGGGAGAAAGUGAGUGUGGCAGAGGAGAGGAAAGAAGUUAUGGUGGUGUUGUGGUGUUCUCAGUUGAAGGUUCUGUCCCACUCGUCUGUAGGGUGCUUUGUGUCGCACUCCAACAAAAAGGAAAAACAGAAGCAGGAAGGACACUGAAGUGGCAUAUGCAGAAGGACAGAGAUGUUUACAUUUUCUUCAUUCUUCUUUUCACUUCUCUGAUAUUCCAUUGUAUUAAAGAAGUCUUGUACUAAGAAAGAUUUGAUUCAGAACUUAGAAAAUCACAAAGCAACAAUAUUUUUGUGAAUACAAAUUCCUCAUGUUUAAAGUAAUCAAAUACCUGAUUGGUCAAAAGCUUCUCAAUCACCAUCUGUCAGCAUUGCCUGCAAUUUUCAUAUUUUUAUGCAAUCAGGUGGUCUUUUUUUUUUUCUUUUUUCUUUUUUCUUUUGUAUGCUGCAGGUUGCAUUGUUGGACAAGGGGCUAUGAUAUUGACAUUUUCAAACUUUAUAUAUUGACAAAUUCAGUCUUUACAUAAUCUAUAUAACACAAUGAUUUCACAAUUAGCAGGGGCUGAGCAACUCUCUGAUUACCUCUUAAAACAGAUGGAUGUGCUUAAUAUAUAGCAUCAUUGGAAUGUGAAACGGGUUUAUCUAGUGUCAAUUGUAGAGGAAUCAUUCUAUCCUCUUCUUCUUCUUCUUCUUUUUUGGGUUAGUUUCAGUCUUCUAUGAUUACUUUGACGACUCUAUGAAUGGUUCAUUGCUUUCCGUAUUCUAUCGUUUCCACAUGCUUCUCUCUUAGUAGUUAGUUACUUGGAGUUCCGCAACAAUUUACUUUUUGUGGACAAGUAUAGCAGUAGGAAGUACUAUGUUAAAAUGUUCCAGGCCAUGGUU